UAGCCCUGCCACGCUGAUGGCUCUUUCUGCCCGCGCCCCCGGGAAACGGUACGCCUGUCCCCGGCUGCUGGCCGGGCCUGCUCUUCCCCUGCGACAGCUCCGGGGCAUCUUUCCCAGGCCUUCGGUUCUCAGCGCAGAGCCUCUGCGCACCACCUGCCUGCACCCAGACCCGCACGCUGGACGCGUGUUAGCUGAGCAGAGUCCACGCAGGGGCCGCUGCUUGUGGGAAGGAAGAGAGCCAUCGCCCGCUCCGGGCCGAGAGGUGCGAACCUGAGGAAAGCCUCUUGCUGUCUCUCGGCCUCGGCUGCUACAACCUUUCUCCUUCGCCGAAGCCGCUGUGUGUGACUGAGUGACAGGCACAGGGAAGGAGGAAAUAGCCAGGCUUAAGUUAUCCAGGCUGGGAUUGGAGGCUGCAGACUCAAGCUCCCUCACUACAGCCCCAGCUCAUGGACUCGCGGGGGGACCUCACCUGUCCCCUGCCCCUACCUGUUGUAUGACUGUCUCUCUGUCUCUGUCCCACUGGCCCUCCGUCCUGGUUAAUGGUGACAUCCUCGCUGCCCAAACUGUGUGUGAAGGAAGACUGGCUAGUUUAAUGAUGGCUGAAUGAUAAAACAAAAAAACAAAAAAACAAAACAACCAACAGGCUGGACAGGACUCUACAUUCACCGUCCUCAGGCAUGGAGGCGUCAUCACGCCGCCCUACAAGUCCACGUCCAGUUGCAAACCUCAGCGAGGCCCUGAGAAGUGCGGAGGAACUGCAUGACAAGACUUGGGCACCGUGUGGUUUUUGACGUGUUGGCAGUUGAACGCAGCACCUCUGACAUGUUAGAUCGCGGCUUUCCUGCUGAGCCCAUCAUCCCCUCUGUCCCUGAUCGCUCUGUGUGCGUGUGUUGUACUGAGGAUUGACGCCAAGCUUCACACUGAGCAACAGCCCCACCGGCCAGCUACGGCAUGUCAAGACAGCUGUAUUUCCGUCUCCAGUCACAGCUAAAACCUCAGUGUUCCUGUGACGCUGUGAUGCUCCAGGACAGGACUACACCAGCUGAAGACGUCCUGGGGAGGAACAAAAUCUUCAUCUGUGUGGUUCCCCGUCGUUCUAGGAUUUCCUCUGCAGCUGCCCUCUGAGCUACCUAUCCCCUCCUUCCGAGCCACAUUUUUCACUCCCGAUGUACUGACCUCUGUCUGUUUUUCCUGGUGUGCUGAAUAAAAGUGUA